GUUUGUGCCUUAAGUAUUGGUGCACUGAGGUAUUGAGAGGAGGAGAAAAAUAGAGGAAAGCCACGGAGCAGAGGCCGAGAGUUUGGAGGUGUUGAUGAUUCAUUGAUGAAUUUAUUUUGCAGUGUAACGUAGAUUACUAGUUGUGGGUUUAGGAGAAGAGUUGGCGUUCAGGAUUAUUUUAUUUAUUUAGAGAUUUUAUGUAUUUAAUUUAAGAAAAUUGAUUUAGUAUCAAUAAAGGAUAAAGGAAUUUUUAUUUUCUUUUGAAAUCCUGAAAUAUUGAAGUAUUUGAAAUUGAAUAAAUUAAAGAUUUUAUUUAGAAAAUUCGAGACGUGACAUAGCCCAUUCAGUCAAGCCCAAGUCAACUCAGCCACAUAGUAAAAAUAAAAGCCCAAGCCAAAUAAGCUCAGGCUCAGCCCAUGGAUGAUGGGUCAUCAACACACAAAAUAUUUUUAGGGUUCAGCCUCCCCAAUCGCCUCCAUCUCUAUUCUCGUUCUCAACUCUCCCUCUCUCUCUCUCCAACUGCAAACUACAAAAUCUACAAGAAUCAGAAGUUCAAAACCCAUAUAUUUCAGUUUAUCUAUCUGUCUGCAAGAAUCAAAAGUUCAAAACCCAUAUCGGCAUAUCAUUUCAGAUUGUUUCAAAAAUCAAAACCCAUAUCUUUCAGUUUCCAUCGCCCGUUCCAGUUCCUGGUUCGCCGUUUGCAAGCUUCUGCCGCUGUCUCUCAACUCUCAAGCUUCACCCCCCCCCCCCCCCCCCUCUGCAACUGCUAACUUGUGAAGCAGUAAGGAAGGAACGCAGGUCACGGAAAAGGAAAACCCUAGCCUCAAUCCUCGUGUAAGGUGAAGAAAGAAGGAAGAGGACGCGCAAGGAGGAGAAGAGAAUCUCACUGUCUCACUGUUGCGGCUAGGGUGGUGGCGGUUCUGAGCCUCUAAGAGGCAUGUCUCCUCAAUCAUCAGGUUUACUUCAUGUGAAGGGAAAAGAGCUCAGUGAAAUGAGUGGAAUCGGAAAAUGAGAGUUGAUUGGAAUGGGUGGAGUAGGGAAAAUACCUUUCGGUUUCGGCUGGCGUGACGUCGGGAAGAUGCCUUUCGGUUCCGGUUUGCACGGUAGCGGCUUCGUGGGGAAGAUUCCCGUUUACUGACAGAGACAGCUGCAGGAGGGAUGGGAUGGCUUUUGGUUCCCGUUCUCGGACCGCUGGCCACAGUAGAUCUACGCCUCGCCCUAGCAGAGAGGUAUCUUUUGGUUCCCAGUGGACUGAUAGGGGCAGCCGGAGGUACAUGACUACUGCUCCUCGUAGUAAAUCUAUGCCUCGCCAGACUUAUAUUUCCCGUUGGAUUUACGGUGGCUCCAGUAUACCAAAAAAGACUAUUACUACUGAUUAUUACCAAUGGAAAGUACACAAGUGCUCAACAUCAAGCCAUAACUAAUGGUAACAAGGCGCGGCUAUCAGUUGCCACAUUUCAUGACCCUGCAAAUACAGUGAAAAUAUAACAAGGCGCGGCUAUCAGUUGCCACAUUUCAUGACCCUGCAAAUACAGUGAAAAUAUCUCCAGCUUGUGAGCUUGUCAGUGACGAUUCUUCUCUCCGGUAUCAUCAGCAAGUUAUCUAUGGGGACUGAAAACGGAAUAUUGAUGCCUUCCUAUUAUAAUCAAAUGAUGGUGUUUGGCCUUUGUAAAGCAUAGGAACUCAUCAAUGUCUCCAUAAAUGGAUAAAAUUCAUCAAUCGAUCGAUCUAAUGGCUAAAGUCACAUGGAGAGCACAAGUGAUAGAGAACACCCUACGUAAACUCACUCUUCCUUUAUUUUGCUUUGCAUAGUUCCCAGGCUUGCUUGAUGGAGCAAGUUUGUUUUGUAUAAUUGUUUUGUAUAAUUUGUUCUAGUGUUGUCUUCAAUUUUUCUGUUCGUCUCUCUCAACUCUUGUAUAUUGUUUCUUUUUACUGUUUGAAUAAAAGUUUACCAUGUUGAACCCAGAAAAUAAUAAUCAUAAUCACAACAAUCACCAUUUCUUUCAGACAGUUGAUGCAAUUAUACAUGGAUAGCAUGGGUUCUCACACAGCAAAAAAAAAAUCAAAAAAAAAAAAAAAAAAAAUUCACAGCAACAAAAGAGACUAUAAAAACAUCAUACUUAAUUUAACUAUCAUUAAACUAAAAAGUAAGGCCGCAAGUUGGACUGGCCCAGCCCAGUUCUAAUCCACUGGUCAAAUUUUAAAUUUUAUUUUUACAAAUGCAUAAACAUCAAAAUUUUUAAGAAAAUUUAAUUUUUUAAUUCAUCAAUACUUGCAAUUUUUUUCAAUUUUUAUAACAACAUGGAACUGCAGAUGAAUGAGCAAGGACUUUGAACUCUUGAAGGCCAAUUUUUUUAUGACAACAUAGAACUGUAGAUAAUGUGAAAUUACUGUUAACCGUGGAAAUAAUGUUUAUAUAUACUGUUCCCAAAUUUUUAUUCAUCUUCCAAUCAAAACAUUUAUCCUGUACAAGCACAGAAUAGAAACUGAUAAUUUUUUUUUUUUUACUGAUAAAAUUAUUUUUUUACUUUUUUUUUCUCCCUUCUCUCUUCUCUCUCUUUUUCUCUCUCUCUCUCCCCUUCUCUUUUUCUCUUCAUUUUUUCUUCUUACAGGCAAAGGAGGAUAGAGGAGACAGGAUCGGCCUGUAAAAAUAAAAAAAAAUAAAAACUUAAGAAAAAAAAUUUUAUUUUUUUAUUUUUUAUUUUUUAUUUUUUAUUUUUGUCUCCCUCCUCUCUCUUCUUUCUCUUUCUCUUUCUCUUUCUUUUGUCGCUUCAUUUUUUUCUUCUUAGAGGCUAAGGAGGAGAGAGAGAAGAGAGAGAGAGGGGACCGUUUGUAUGUUUGUUUUUUUUUUUUUGGCAAUGGAUUAGGCCCCUCCACUCUCUAUUUUUUUUUUUUUUUUUUUUUGCAUUAUAUACUUGAAUUUUUUGAAAAAUUAUACAGAUGUCCGCACUGAAGUUUCACAAAUGCCCCCACUGUAUAAGUUCCCCCACAAUUAUUUUAUCUCCUAGACUCCUGCAACAACUCACAAGUUAUACUACUUUACGCCCUUUCACGCUUUGGUUCUCUGCGUCCUACGCGAACAACAGACGAGACGAAUAUGGCUUCGGGCCUUCUGCAGUUCUUCCCAUCACCGACCAGCCCCCACCUCCAUCCGGCAAUCCAUGUCUCUCUCUCACAUAGAUGACACCCACUUGCAAUUUGUAACCCUAGUUUUUAAUUUCAACAGUUGGUGUUCAAAGCCCUAAUUUUCAUAACUUUGGCUCUUCAAGACUUCAACUAAGCUCCGGAACAGUUGGUGUUCGAUUGAUACUUUGGAAACAUUGAAUCAGUUCUUGUAGCCACGAAAAGCCGACCAUUCAAAUUUUAUGUUGCUUCUGUCAGAUUAAUGCCCUUUGCCCCUUUGGUCAGCUAUUUCGAUUGAUUGUUGUUGUAUGUUGAGGCCCUUUGUACAACAACAACAAUUUGGAUAAAUUGGGAGUUGCAACUUGCAAGAUCAAGUCCUUUUGUACGGGUUACUUCUGUUAAUAUUAAAGAAGACAUGAGUAUUGCUGUAGUAAAUGGAACUCCAACCAGGCUUGAGGGAAGGUUUAGUGCAAUGGUAGUAUGUUGGAUUCUUGGACUCGGGUCCGUCGUGUCAUGGAACAAUUGGAGACUACUACUAUAAAUUGUUCCUGGUACUUCGCCCAUAGUUAUUUUCCAUCCUUCUUUUCAGAUUAUGACUCUUUCCUUUAAAUUCAUUCAUUUUAUACAUCUUUCCCGCCAACAUAAUAUCAAGGACAAAUUUCCUACCAACAGAAAUUGAAUGUCACAAAACACUUAUCCAAUGUAAAAUUAUGAUUUUAGACCUGUGCACCAAUUUCUUUUGUGAUGUGUUUCUUUUGCAUAGAAGAAAUACCAUCCUGCCAGGGUUCUUACCCUCAUUUAUCAACCGUUCGCAUUUGGUACAAUUGCAAUACUUUCAUACAAUGAAUACAUUGUAUGAAAGUAUGAAAGUUUAUCAACAGUUCGCAUUUGGUACAAUUGCAAUACUUUCAUACAAUGUACCAAAUGAUAAACUUUCAUACUUUCAUACAAUGUACUCAUUGUAUGAAAGUAUUGCAAUUGUACCAAAUGCGAAUGGUUGAUAAACGAGGGUAUGAAAGUAUGAAAGUUUAUAAUAAUGAGGUAGGAAAACCAAUGACGCUGUAUGGAGCGCCAAUGCUGAACUGCGUAGGCAGUUGGAUGACGCUUUCAGAAUUGGCUGAACUGCGUAGGCAGUUGGAUGAGUUGCUUGAGUCUGGCUACAUUCAAGCAUCCAAGGCACUGUAUGGAGCGCCAAUGCUGUUCCAGAAGAAGCAGGAUGGCUCAAUGCAGAUGUGUGUGGACUACAGGGCUCUGAAUAAGGUUUGGCAAAUUCCUCCUCCUUUACGGUUAAAGCAUCGAGUGUUAUAAGUUAUCUGGUGACCAUGUCUAGCAGUUCAGGAGUUUUCAUUUUAUAUAUAUUAAUUUGAGAUUUUUUAUUUUUGCUUUAACAGAGAUUUUUAUAUAUAUUAAUUGGAGUUUCAUUUUGUUGAAUGGACAUUGGAGAUUUUUAUUUUGGCCUUAAAAGAAGAAAUAUAUGUUGAGAUGUUGGCUU